GAAUAUUGCGCAAUGGGCGAAAGCCUGACGCAGCAACGCCGCGUGGAGGAUGACGGCCUUCGGGUUGUAAACUCCUUUGGGGGGGGACGAGGAAGGACGGUACCCCCAUAACAAGUCCCGGCCAACUACGUGCCAGACGCCGCGGUAAAACGUAGGUGGCGAGCGUUAUCCGGAUUUACUGGGCGUAAAGGGUGUGCAGGCUGCUCCUCAAGUGGUGUAUGAAAGCAUCCGGCUCAACCGGGUCAUGGUAUGCCAGACUGAGGAGCUAGAGAGCGAGAGCGGGACGUGGAAUUCCGGGUGUAGUGGUGAAAUGCGUAGAGAUCCGGAGGAACCCCAGAGGCGAAGGCGGCGUCCUGGCUCGCAUCUGACGCUCAGACACGACAGCAUGGGGAGCGAACGGG
rnacentral:rRNA from 1 species